rnacentral:sRNA from 1 species
GCGGCCCCCUGUUGCAGUCCCUGCUGUGGACCAUCCUGCUGAGCCCAUGUUCGUCGAAUCUAAAAAGGUACUGCUGAUGACAGCCAGUCAUUUUUGUCGGACCAGCGACGACUAGCUCUUCUCCUGCUUUCUGUGGAUAAAUCCUUGGCGAUGGCAGCCCUUCUUGAUGGCAGUUUUGUGCUUGCUCUUGUUUGCUCUUACUGUAUUAGCAUCAUCUUCAGGUGAUUGUUUCUUGAUGCCAUCCAUCAUGGAGCCUUUUUGUAAUGUCACGUUGUUUCACGUAGAAACUACGACAUAUUAAAAAAGUCUCUAAAAUGGAUGGGAUAAAAAAAAAAAAUCACCGGAAGAUGUUGGAUAUGCCGUUAAAGCAAACAAAAGCAAGCUCAAUACUUUCAUCAAAAAGGAGGAGCAAGAGUAGAGCUACUGCCGGAGGCGCGACGCGAGUCCUCCGAGGCCGAGGAGACGGCGGCCGACGACUUGAUGAUGCGGGGUGGCUCCACGACCGGAUUGAGCCUACAGUAAGGGCGUUGCGAUCUGCACGCUUUCUAGUGGAGACUUUCGAGGCUGCUUUGCUACGUGCCUUCUCCGACGCUUUUAUUUGACCACCUCCUCGGUGAUUUGCAGAAACUGCAUGCCGGCUGUCAAGAGUAAUAAAGCUGGAGUCGGACGAA